rnacentral:rRNA from 1 species
UACGUAGGGGGCAAGCGUUGUCCGGAAUCAUUGGGCGUAAAGCGCGUGUAGGCGGUUCAGUAAGUCUGCUGUGAAAGUCCAGGGCUCAACCCUGGGAUGCCGGUGGAUACUGCUGGGCUAGAGUACGGAAGAGGCGAGUGGAAUUCCCGGUGUAGCGGUGAAAUGCGCAGAUAUCGGGAGGAACACCAAUUGCGAAGGCAGCUCGCUGGGACGUUACUGACGCUGAGACGCGAAAGCCAGGGGAGCAAACGGG